GAGGAUAUGAUGAUCCUUUUCCUGAUGAUUGGCAAUGAACAUGCUGAGCUCUAUUAUUUCUCUUCAGAGAAACCAAGCCAGUAUUCUGAUCCUC
rnacentral:snoRNA from 1 species